GCAAAUCCCCAAAAACGUAGUCCCAGUUCGGACUGCAGUCUGCAACUCGACUGCACGAAGUCGGAAUUGCUAGUAAUCGCGGAUCAGCAUGCCGCGGUGAAUACGUUCCCGGGCCUUGUACACACCGCCCGUCACACCAUGAGAGUCGGGAACACCCGAAGUCGGUAGUCUAACCUCGUGAGGACGCCGCCGAAGGUGGCUUGAUAAUUGGGGUGAAGUCGUAACAAGGUAAC
rnacentral:rRNA from 1 species